rnacentral:rRNA from 1 species
UACGGAGGAUCCAAGCGUGUCCGGAUUUAUUGGGCGUAAAGAGCUCGUAGGCGGCUUGUCGCGUCGACUGUGAAAACCCGCGGCUCAACCGCGGGCCUGCAGCCGAUACGGGCAGGCUAGGGUUCGGUAGGGGAGACUGGAAUUCCUGGUGUAGCGGUGAAAUGCGCAGAUAUCAGGAGGAACACCGAUGGCGAAGGCGGUCUCUGGGCCGAUACUGACGCUGAGGAGCGAAAAGCGUGGGGGAGCGAAACAGG